AGUCAUUGCAGAUUGGUGUGCCCCUGCCAUCUCUGGGUGAGUUAUCUCCUCGAGGAGCUCACUCUCACGCACCACUACAAGA
rnacentral:pre_miRNA from 1 species